GAGGUUAUUCCGCUGAUUUCAUUUAUUGUGAGUAGUUGUACACUGAUUAUUGCUGGGAAUCCAUGAAGAAGAUGAAGUUGUUGAAGAACGUAUGAAGUUGUUGAGAGGCUUUAAGAGAGAGAGAGGUUUGUGUAGGAUGUGAGUGAAAAGUGUGAAAGUGUGAAGUGUGGUAACUAUAAAUACAUAAGAAAGGCAUGCAAAACGACAAUGUUAGAUAGAAAAGGAACAGUUAAAUUUAAUGAUGGCACAUAAAAAGAGUUGACACGCUAGGGGAGAAAUUGAUUACAGCUAAUGAUGGAUGUCUAAUCUACAAAUCAGCACACCGCUCGAGGAGAUCUCAAGGGUCUAUCUCUUGAUUUCUGCUCGACAUGUAUCUAGAAGAUCCAAAGUCAGACGCGAGAGGAACCACGUGUUGAUCUAUCUGAUCUUCAGGAAUACCAAGGGAUUGGAUCUUGAGGAUUUAUGAUUCAAAUGACUUCUAACUGGUAGAAGUAUCAAAGUCAGAUCCAGACACCAGAU
rnacentral:lncRNA from 1 species